CGCGAAUCAUCGAGUCUUUGAACGCAANUUNCGCCCGAGGCUUGNCCAAGGGCAUCCCUGCCAGAGCGUCAUU
rnacentral:rRNA from 1 species